ACUAGACUCUGGAAGAACCAGGAAACAGAGAUGAGUUUAUCAAGAUUGCUUAGAUGAUCCUGAAACGCAGACAAGUAUUGGGAAACAUCUACUCACUAAAGAAGGACGCUGGGGAGGGAAAAUCCAUUUCCCAGGAGUCCCCAGGUUUGUAAAGUACUUAAUGAACACGGAGCUGCUCUUGUUGGUCCAUGAAUCACACCCCCGCCCCCCCAGACCCCGUUUUGUGCCUCUGUAGGAACAUAUCCAAAUCAGCGGUAAGAACUGGUAACCGCCCGCGCCCGCGAGGAGGGGGAAGGUGGAUGAGCCGCUGUUGGGCUUUUUGAAGUCUCACAACUGCAUCCUAAUGGAGCGUGCUGAGCAAACCGCUUCCUCCCAAGAUUUAAGAUCAAAAGCGUCUCAGCGAGCGAAUAAAAGACUCCACAUCCUCUCUGAGAGUCCGGUUCUCCCGGCACUUAACAGAUUCAAUAUGCAGGACGGCGCGCGAGGGCGUCCUUCGCUGGGGACCCGGCACGGCCAAGAACACAUUCCUCACCUUGUUCAUAAUCCCCGUUCAUUAGCCCGUGAACGUGGCCAACUUCCAACUACAAUCAUUCCACUCGGCCCUGGCGACGCCUUUCCUGGAACUCUAAAUGGGCAUCAGUCUUCCCUGCUGGCCUGGGCUUCGAGGGAGCUUCCUGGAGCUGGUGGGCAGCCCACGGGGGUCUGCAGGCAUGAAAGGAAAAACUGA
rnacentral:lncRNA from 1 species